AGGUGACACGACCUCUUAGUCACACCAAGAGACAGUUUGAUGUGGAGGAGGAGGGUGUUGACAAGCUGGCUCUGAGGGUUGACCUGUGGAAUGCCAGUAACCUGAAGUUUGGGGAUGAGUUCCUGGGAGGGGUCAGAGUUCCUCUGAGGGCCCUGGGACAGGCCGGGGUCCACGACGCAUGGUACUUUCUGCAGCCCAGGGAUAACGGAGGGAAGCCGGUGAAAGUGGAUGAGU